rnacentral:lncRNA from 1 species
UACUUUGUAAAGCUUUUGAUUUACUCCUAAUUCACGAUCGGGUAAUUUUUACAACUCAAUUAAUUAACGAGGCGAGGGCAUAUCAAGUUGGUAUCAGAGCUUGCUAAAUUAGAGUAAGAAUCAUUGUAAUCGGUAUUACGAGAUUGUAAAAAAAUUGAAAAAAAUUCGAAAAAAAAAAUUUGUGUUCAAAACUUUCUGUUGUAUUCAGCAAAGUGUAAAAGAAAAAGAAAAAAAAUUGAAAUUAAAAAAAAAGUUCGCAGUUGGAUUGUAAAAGCAUUGUUUGCUGCCCAAAAGACCAUAUCUAUAUAGCCACACUAAUCCCUUCUAUUUUCUUUGUUUGUUAGCCUACCCG